UUCAAAUUAUUAAAUAAAAUUAGGUUAGAUUUGAUUAGUACGUGAGUACGCUUUAAAAAGAACUCAGAGCCCACUCAUUUAAAUUACAUUCAGCAAAAAAGGGCUACAUUUGUAAUGUUAUUAGAGUUUAAUGAAAUAAGUUACAGUAUUUUGAUGGAUCGGACUUUUUCAGAGUAAACAACAAGUACCAAAAUGCAUUGCGGCGGGCAUAGGUUACAGGCGGUUUAGCCAAUGGGUGGUGCGACAGUGUGAGGUCAGAGGGGAAAGAAAACAUGGCGGAUUGUGCAUAAUGCAGUGUGCAACACGUCAGAGGAGUGGAAACGUUUUGUUUCAGCAUCAACAGAACCAUAAAGGAGAAAAGAUGGACUAUAUGUAAACACUGCUAGUGAGAUAGUGGUCUGGAAAUACUAGCAACAUGAGCAGCAUCUGUUGUUAUGGGAUUAAACCAUCUUUAUUCAGGUAUCAGUUUAUGGGAUGGAAAUGUAAGAUCUGCACAUUUUCAGGCAUCAUCCAUAAACUAUCUACCAGACUAGCCUUCAGGUAAAAGCAGUGAUCACCAGGAACAACAGCAGCUCCAAAUCCUGUCUGAGGUUAAGAAGAAGCUCAGCAUUUGUGUUUAGAAGACAUGACAUCAUCAGUCUUCAGAUGAGCAUCCAGGAGAUGGUGGAGAGGUGGUCUUCCUUGUUUGAUGUGUCUGAGGUCAAUGCAGAGUUCCAGCAGAUCACCACAGUAAAUGUUGAGGCCAAAUUCAUUUCAACUGCUGUCCAUCUUCCAAGCUAAGAAAAGUGCUGCUGGAGCCUGACACCUUGCAAGAACUGAUGCUGUUCUCCAGGUAUUUGAUAUUACUUUUCUCUAACGCUGCUACUCUGCUCUACCUGUCAUUACCAUUUCUCCUUCUCCAAGACAGAAUGUUGCACUGAUGACUAAGUUGUACAUAGGGCUGGGUGAU
ensembl:lncRNA